GGAUUCAAAUCUGCUUCCAUCCCUGAAGACAUGGAGGACGACCCAAAUGGGUCAGAUGAGGAGGACCAACAUGCCAAAAUGAAAUGCCUCAGGGAACCGCACAGCCAAAUUGAGAAGAGAAGACGGAC